rnacentral:ribozyme from 1 species
UGUCCAACAACUGCUAUCCCUACCUCCUCGUGGUACUGGCCGGGGUAAAAGUAACCUUGGGGAAGA